UACGGGGGGGGCAAGCGUUGUUCGGAAUUACUGGGCGUAAAGCGCGCGUAGGCGGCCCGGCAAGUCGGCCGUGAAAUCUCCCAGCUCAACUGGGAGGGGUCGGGCGAGACUGCGGGGCUCGAGGUGGGCAGAGGGCAGUGGAAUUCCGGGUGUAGUGGUGGAAUGCGUAGAGAUCCGGAGGAACACCAGUGGCGAAGGCGGCUGCCUGGGCCUGGCCUGACGCUGAGGCGCGAAAGCGUGGGGAGCGAUCCGG
rnacentral:rRNA from 1 species